GCCCUACCCUGAUAAUUAUAUGUGCAAGACCCAGAGACUGCCUAGAACAUUCCUAAAUGGGCUGCUCUUGCUCUUGCGGUCUUUACGAGCUGUAAUAAGCGCUCCAUUUAUUUCACUGUAAACGAAAGGAAAAGAAUAUGUAUUAUUUGAGAAAUUCCUCGGACCGGAUGAGUAGUUCCCAUGAAUGGAUGUCGUUUGGUACGCUCAACCGGAUUGAUAGUCAGAUGCAAUUGUGUAAGCAUUAUCAUUUAGAGUAUAUAUAUUUAAGCAGUGUCUCUAUAUAAUUAGUAAUCAGAUUAUAAAGAAUACAAUACAAUGGAGUUGCUGCGUUAGUUUUCGAAAAAUGUUUAAAAAUAGUUACGAUCUUGCUUGCGGAGGAGCCUGUCAUUCAUUUAAUUUUUUUGUCCAUCGCCUAUCGUAUAAAUUCGUUCAGUCUUUGUUAAUCAACAAUUUUACUUUUUUAAAGUGCUUAAUGGUUUACAUUUAUUUUGAGUCAGAGAAAUGUGCACUUAACGAGAAAUGCAAAGUUAAUUAGAGAAACCUCAAUUUAAUGAACUUCUUCUGCAAUGACUGUCUCCGUUCGUUCGAUAUAAAAAUUUGUGUUCGCAUUUUUGGUUUAUAAUAAAAUAUAUAUAUUAAA